GUUUUUUUAUUUCUAUAUUAGAAAAUAAAUAUAUUAAAUUUAUGUUACCAAUUGGGGUAGAUUGAUCCAUAUAUGAAGGGAAGUCAACCAAAGGAGUGAAAAUGUAAUAUGAUAAUUGUGUUGUCUUCCAUCUCAUCAACUAAAGUAUAUUUGUUGAUUAUCCAUUCAUAUUGAUUUGGUACCACUUGAUAUUGAGGUGGGAUUUUUUUGACAUUUGCAUUUGAGAUGUAGUAUUUUUUUUAAGAUGGUUAGCUUUUUCUCAAAUUUUUAAAUGUCAUUAUUGCUAAUUGCCCAAAAUAUUAUUGUGUAUCUCACGGUAUGUACUCGUUUAUGUACAUGAAUGUUGGGAUGAAAUAUAUGUUCCUACGGAUGAGACCUUGGAUGAUUGCAUUCUGCCUAGCUCCUAAUUAUGAACCACAAUCUGGCUACGUAGCUCGUUAAGUUGCAAGCCUCAGCGUCGGGAUCAACACUCACCGUCAUGUCUUGUCAGCUCAGAGUGUCCAGCUCCAACCACGGCUGAAAGCAGAGAAGGAACAUGGAGUAACAUAGAAGUAUGAGGAGGAGCCCAGGCGUAUCUGACCUUAAAAAGAUCACUAUUCAAGGCUAUAACAGUAGCCACUGGUAAAAAUCCGCCCAUUCUUUUCCUCCUUUCUGCUCACGUGUGCAUGUCAAUGCAAAUUUUGACUGUCACUUUAGUUUUCAUGGCUACCAACCUCUCUCUAUUUAUUUUUUCCCGAUGACCAAACAAAAGAAAAGAAAAGAAAAAAAGAUAGCAAUCAAACCCUAGCUAGGAUUCUACCAUAAAGAUAAAAACAACAAAAUAUUCCAUAAGCAUCAAAGAGACUCAGACUUACCUAUCAAUGGUGGAAAAUAUUGGUAUGUAAAGUUACUGGCUUGUAAAUCAGAAUAUAAGUUUUCUGCUUGAUAAAGCCGGAUUGAAUUAGAUAUACACUGUUAGAAUUAGUUAAACCUGUUUGUUAAUUGUCUUUUCUGUUUUAGCUCUCUUUUCCUUCUUGAUUGUAAUACUGCUCAGUGUAUUCUAUUCCUCUGUAAAUAUAAUCCAAGUCUCUAGGUUUUGUAACUUUUUGCAAAGCUAUAACACUCUUUCUCUGAAAUUGGUCUAAGAUAGUGUUGCAAUAGAUAAGUUCGUUUAUGGUAUCAGUGGCAUGGAUCCUCACAUCGAUAAUCCUCCACCACUUGUUUCCCAAACCAGCACCGUGCCGCUCAGACGUCUUCCACGGCAACAACGACUGCUACAACCACCUCUGCUACUGCGACAUGGAAUCCCUUCCAAAAAUUCGCUAAGUUCUUCGCUCACUGUCAAGCUGCUUCGACCGAAUUUCCUUACCUGGAAAUCUCAAGUCCUCUCCACCGUGAUUGUAGACAACACAACUCUCUUCAGCCAAGAGAUGUAUGCAUCUUUGAGCUGAUUAAGAGAAAUCAAUCUGAGAUGAAAGUUUACAUAUUUAAACAAAGUGGUUUGGUUCAAGAGUAGUAACUGUUGUAAUUGUGCAAAUCUUAAGAAUCAUUUUGGAAGAAACGAAUUUGCCACUUA